rnacentral:rRNA from 1 species
UAUACGACCGUACCGCAAACCGACACUGGUGCGCGAGAUGAGUAUUCUAAGGCGCUUGAGAGAACUCAGGAGAAGGAACUCGGCAAAUUGACACCGUAACUUCGGAAGAAGGUGUGCCCUAUUAGUGUGUAGUGAACAACGAAGCAUGAAUGGGUUGCAAAAAAUCGGUGGCUGCGACUGUUUAUUAAAAACACAGCACUCUGCAAACACGAAAGUGGACGUAUAGGGUGUGACGCCUGCCCGGUGCUGGAAGAUUAAAUGAUGGGGUGCAAGCUCUUGAUUGAAGUCCCAGUAAACGGCGGCCGUAACUAUAACGGUCCUAAGGUAGCGAAAUUCCUUGUCGGGUAAGUUCCGACCUGCACGAAUGGCGUAACGAUGGCCACACUGUCUCCUCCUGAGACUCAGCGAAGUUGAAAUGUUUGUGAUGAUGCAAUCUCCCCGCGGAAAGACGGAAAGACCCCAUGAACCUUUACUGUAGUUUUGUAUUGGACUUUGAACAGAUCUGUGUAGGAUAGGUGGGAGGCUUUGAAGCAGGGUCGCUAGAUCUUGUGGAGCCAACGUUGAAAUACCACCCUGGUGUGUUUGAGGUUCUAACCUAGGUCCAUUAUCUGGAUCGGGGACAGUGCAUGGUAGGCAGUUUGACUGGGGCGGUCUCCUCCCAAAGCGUAACGGAGGAGUUCGAAGGUACGCUAGUUACGGUCGGACAUCGUGACGAUAGUGCAAUGGCAUAAGCGUGCUUAACUGCGAGACUGACAAGUCGAGCAGAUGCGAAAGCAGGACAUAGUGAUCCGGUGGUUCUGUAUGGAAGGGCCAUCGCUCAACGGAUAAAAGGUACUCUGGGGAUAACAGGCUGAUACCGCCCAAGAGUUCAUAUCGACGGCGGUGUUUGGCACCUCGAUGUCGGCUCAUCUCAUCCUGGGGCUGUAGCCGGUCCCAAGGGUAUGGCUGUUCGCCAUUUAAAGAGGUACGUGAGCUGGGUUUAAAACGUCGUGAGACAGUUUGGUCCCUAUCUUCCGUGGGCGCUGCAGAUUUGAGGAAGCCUGCUCCUAGUACGAGAGGACCGGAGUGGACACACCUCUGGUGUAUCGGUUGUCACGCCAGUGGCAUUGCCGAGUAGCUAAGUGUGGAAGAGAUAACCGCUGAAAGCAUCUAAGCGGGAAACUCGUUUCAAGAUGAGAUCUGCCGGGGCCUUGAGCCCCCUAAAGAGUCGUUCAAGACCAGGACGUUGAUAGGUCAGGUGUGGAAGCG